GAGUUAUCAGAUAGCAAAGGACUUGAAGCCAGGGCUUUCGGACAAUUGUCUUCAGGUCUCUUUCCAGUUUAAUGACUAGAUUGGAAGAG